rnacentral:rRNA from 1 species
GACGAACCGUGCGAACGUUGUUCGGAUUCACUGGGCUUAAAGGGUGCGUAGGCGGGCAGGUAAGUCCGUGGUGAAAUCUCUGAGCUUAACUCAGAAACUGCCAUGGAUACUAUUUGUCUUGAAUAUUGUGGAGGUAAGCGGAAUAUGUCAUGUAGCGGUGAAAUGCUUAGAUAUGACAUAGAACACCAAUUGCGAAGGCAGCUUACUACACAGUUAUUGACGCUGAGGCACGAAAGCGUGGGGAUCAAACAGG